AUUUUGAAACAUUUCAAACCGUUGUAUUUCAGAAGUUGUAUUCCAGAAUAUAGUGUUCUGGAAGCAAAGAAAGAGGACUUGUCAGUUGAACAGAAUAGAGAUUAUUAAUGUUUUGGAAGUCUAAGGGCGUAUCCUCCAGUCUGUGAUACCCACUCUACAAAGAGGAAAGUAGCUUGACUAAAAGAGAGGACUUUAAAAGUGAAAGCUAGACUUGAGCUCAAGAAACUAUGGAGAUGACACAGGGCUCCAAACGAUAUGACAGUGCUGUAAUUGUGGCACGAAGGAAUAACUGAAAGAGCAGAACUAAAAAUGGUCCUCAUGAGCAAACAAACAAGCAAAAAUGAUGACCCUUCACAAAGAGCAUGUGGGACACCUAUCUCAGAUUUUGGAAGAAAUUUACAUGUAUGCCUGUGAAAUAAGAAUUCUUCAAGAUUACUGUAACCUAAUUAAAAUACGUGUCCUUCCUUCUGUCAUUCUUUUUCUCUUUCCCACUCUCGUUCUUGCCUUCUCAACAUCUUUCUCUCUCCCCUUUUCUCUCUCUCUAACUCCCCAUCACAAUUAUAGUUCUUAUCAUCACAAAGAGCUUACGGCAGAGAUUGUCUCCCUGUCUUUAUUUUUUCAAUUUUAUACUGCCAACCACUGGUGUUAUUUCUGA
rnacentral:lncRNA from 1 species